rnacentral:lncRNA from 10 species
ACCGUGGCCUGGCAAGAUCGGACGUUUUCCGAGGAACCCGGCUGAGCUCCUGUGAGAGCUGCUCCCUGCACUGAUGUGGUCCCUUGGCUGGCAGGCUGCUCUGUGAUCAACCAGGUGACACCUGCCUGUUAUGAGGGACAGGUAGGAGAGGAUGGGCUUUCCAUCAAAACAAACAAAAAAAAGUCCAGAAUUUCUGAUAAUAUCACUUCUUUUCCAGAGUCCCAAGAAGGAACUCGGCUCUUCAGAGAUUCAGGACUCAGGAGAAGACUUCGUAGUGAGAGUUGACGUAGAAGUUGACAGCCCAAACCCCACACCAGUUCUUAGAAGUAUUGAUCUCCAAGAAAGAGCAGAAAGAGCUACAACUCCUGCUCCCAGGGACUUACAGGAUCUAAAAAAUGUUUGUGCAGCCAUUUGGACCUCAGUAUGAAGUGGUGUUAAAAGGUGAAGUCCAUUCUUCAGGAAGUAAACCUCUGCCACGUGGAUCAUGCUCAGACAUCCUAUUGAAGUUUGUCCAACAAUUUCUUGCUUUGGAAGGUGUCUCUCUUGGUGGAACACAGUUUCACCUUUUGCUGGAACUCAGAGCUACAAAUGAUGCUUAAUGUACCAAUGCCUUCUGACUGAACUCCUCUCUGCCCUGAAUACAAGAGACCCUAAUAGUUAUGUGGAAAUAUCAUCGCCCCGUUCAGCAUGAAGAAGUUACAAAAGAUGGACCUUCAUCCUUCUGCAACCCUUAGGAUUAAGGGUCCUCUUGUAAAAGGGAGGGGAAAUAUGUAAGAAGCAUUCAAACCAGAGCGACUCCAUUUUGAACAAGGGCUAAGAAAAAUGAAGCUGGGUCCUGUUGGGCUGCAUGCCCAGGAGGUUAAGCAUUCUUAGCCUCAAGAUGUUUACAAUUGAGGGAACAGAUUAAUAAUGUUUCCUAAACAGACUCAGGACUUAACAGACUCAGGAACGUCUUGAUACUUUGAGAACAAAAGCACUUCUAGUUUUAAAUACGCAUUGUACCUAGGCUGGAUGCUUUUCUUACUUUUGGAAAUGCCCUACCCUGUCUAUGGAGUCACUAUUCAUUCCCUCCUUUAUUAAAGUUGCUUCUAUUUUGCACUGUG